rnacentral:rRNA from 1 species
CUCGUAGGCGGCCAACUAAGUCAGACGUGAAAUCCCUCGGCUUAACCGGGGAACUGCGUCUGAUACUGGAUGGCUUGAGGUUGGGAGAGGGAUGCGGAAUUCCAGGUGUAGCGGUGAAAUGCGUAGAUAUCAGGAGGAACACCGGUGGCGAAGGCGGCAUCCUGGACCAAAUCUGACGCUGAGGAGCGAAAGCCAGGGAGCAAACG